GCUAGGGAAGCCUGAAUAUUGUUUUGAUUCUUCCUGCUUCCUUUAAGUAGAGUGUUCCAGAAUUUUUGCUACAAACAUUGGAGGCAUUAGGGCUGUAUUUGUGGAAUAUGAUUCUCUGCUCUAAAACAGAAUCUAUUUUUGUAAAGGUUCUAUGUAGUGCUGAAAAGUGAAUGCUUAGAAGAGUGAAGCACAACAACAAAGAAAAGGAUGAUGGGGCAAGAUCUGUAUAACAUAUAAACUGGUUAAAAGAGGGAGCCCAAACUCAGUAUGUCCGUCACAAACUUUAAUGCCAUGAAGAGCACAGAAAGACUAAAUAAGGAACAAGUACAGGGAGUGGAGCCCCUGAGCCAGGAGCUUAAGCAAUGGAGACCUUGGAAUGAUGGAUUCCAGGCCAGAUGUUGCAUCCAGCACAACAGGGGAGCCCUGGGAAGCCAGGGCUGGGAAGCCAGGAUCGCAGAUCUCAAGUCCAGGCUUUGGACUUGAAACUUAGUGUGACUAAUACUACGUAGGAACUGAGUUAAACUGGGAACCUAAUCUCCCUCCUUUCUCCAUGUUUGUAUGUUUGCUUUCAUUACAUCUUUGAAGUAAAACAUUCAAAUGUAACCAGGAUACUUGGACCCCUAAAAUGGGGAGGGACCUUAAUGGGGGCGGGGGUUCAGUCAAUAAUAUAGACAAGAAACUGAAGUCUCUUACACAUAACAAGGAUAAGAGUUCUGAAGAACCCUGAGGGAGAGAUCAAAUCGAGCACACCUGACCUUCAGGAAGUGGGCACCAGAAAGAGCC